GGAGGAAUCGCGUCGCUGGAUCCUGCCCGUCGGAGCCAGAGACGUUAAACCAAAUGACGGAACUAAGCAUGUAGAGCCGAUGGGCGAGUGUCGGCGGACGCGGGUUCAAUUCCCGCCGCCUCCACCA
rnacentral:tRNA from 1 species